GUAAACCAUGGGUUAGCCUAAGGUUAAGUGAAAACCAUACCAUGGUUUUCACUUAACCUUAGGCACCCAAAAUUUGA
rnacentral:miRNA from 1 species